rnacentral:misc_RNA from 1 species
AUGUGCUUAGCGGUGAACAUUUUACCGAUCUCGCACCUAUUUUCCUGGCGCUCUGGCGCUCACAAUCUCAGUGGCAUCUCACAUGUUACUUGUUUUGUGUGUGCCAUUUUUGAUUGUCGUUGUUUCAUGUUUGUCCGUUUACACUACGUUUUCACGUACAUAAAUGAAUUGUUUCGACACGAACGACACGAUUUCCAGACAUUCUAUCAGAAGUAGGCGUGCAUGAGCUUGCUGUCUUACGAGUUCCGCUUGUUUCAAUAUCACGUGUACGAAGAUUACACGAAACGAACGCCACCAUCAUGUCUAAACGACGUCUGGAUAUAAUUGAUCCGUACAUCACCAAAAACAAAAAGGCUGAAGGAGGAGGACAAGUGUAUAUGAAACCUAGUUCUUCAACUCAAUUACAGACAAAUCCUUACACUAAUCUACCAUUUACUCCUAAGUAUUUUGAACUUCAUAAGAAACGAAUACAAUUGCCUGUAUUUGAGUACAAAGAUGAGUUUAUGAGUCUUUUAAAGAAUAAUCAGUGUAUUGUGCUAGUCGGUGAAACAGGUUCAGGAAAAACUACUCAAAUACCACAAUGGUGUGUAGAAUAUUCUUCAGUAUGUGGUCGUAAAGGUGUUGCAUGUACUCAACCUCGAAGAGUAGCUGCUAUGUCUGUAGCUCAGCGAGUUUCUGAAGAAAUGGAUGUGUGCCUUGGUUCUGAAGUUGGUUACAGUAUACGUUUUGAGGAUUGUUCUUCAUCCAGAACACUUUUAAAAUACAUGACAGAUGGUAUGUUGCUCCGUGAAGGUAUGUCUGAUCCCAUGUUAGAAACAUAUCAAGUUAUUCUUCUAGACGAAGCUCACGAGAGAACUUUAGCUACAGAUAUAUUAAUGGGUGUUCUUAAAGAAGUUAUUAAACAGAGAAAGGAUCUUAAAUUAGUUAUUAUGUCCGCUACGUUAGAUGCUGGAAAAUUUCAACAAUAUUUCGAUAAUGCCCCACUUAUGAAUGUUCCUGGUCGCACAUUCCCUGUAGAAAUAUUUUAUACUCCAGAACCGGAACGAGAUUAUUUAGAAGCAGCAAUUCGUACAGUAAUUCAAAUCCAUAUGUGUGAAGAAGUGGCUGGAGAUAUUUUACUUUUUCUUACAGGACAAGAAGAAAUUGAAGAAGCUUGUAAGAGAAUAAAAAAAGAAAUUGACAAUUUAGGUCCAGAUGUUGGUGAAUUAAAAUGUAUUCCAUUAUAUUCUACUCUACCUCCAAAUUUACAACAAAGAAUUUUUGAGGCAGCUCCCCCAAAUAAGGCAAAUGGAGCUAUUGGUCGUAAAGUAGUAGUUUCCACAAAUAUUGCUGAAACAUCUUUAACCAUUGAUGGAGUUGUAUUUGUGAUAGAUCCUGGAUUUGCCAAACAAAAAGUAUAUAAUCCUCGUAUUCGUGUUGAGUCAUUGCUCGUGUCUCCUAUUAGUAAAGCUUCUGCACAACAAAGAGCUGGUCGUGCGGGCCGUACAAGAGCAGGAAAGUGUUUCAGGUUAUAUACCGAGAAAGCAUACAAAAAUGAAAUGCAAGAAAAUACAUAUCCUGAAAUAUUACGUUCAAAUUUAGGUUCAGUAGUGUUACAACUAAAGAAACUGGGUAUCGAUGAUUUAGUACAUUUUGAUUUUAUGGAUCCUCCAGCACCAGAAACUUUAAUGAGAGCUUUGGAGUUACUUAACUAUUUAUCAGCUCUAGACGAUGAUGGUAAUCUUACCGAUUUGGGCAAUAUCAUGGCUGAGUUUCCUCUAGAUCCACAGUUAGCAAAGAUGUUGAUUGCUUCAUGUUCACUUAGUUGCUCUAAUGAAAUCCUUUCGAUAACAGCUAUGUUGUCAGGUGUGUGUUGCUGGUUAUUAAAUGAGGCACAAUGGCCUUAUCCGGGCGUACCCGUCUGGCCUGCCUCCCCUGAUUGUCUUGUUUAGUCCCACAAUGUUUUGUUCGACCAUCUGAAGCAAAGAAAGCAUCCGACGACUCAAAAAUGAGGUUUGCCCACAUCGAUGGGGAUCAUCUUACCUUACUCAAUAUCUAUCAUGCAUUUAAACAAAAUAAUGAAGAUCCUCAAUGGUGCUAU